rnacentral:rRNA from 1 species
CCCUUAGAUGUUCUGGGCCGCACGCGCGCUACACUGAUGAAUUCAACGAGCUCCUAACCUAGGCCGAAGGGUCCGGGUAAUCUUUGAAAUUUCAUCGUGAUGGGGAUAGAUUAUUGCAAUUAUUAAUCUUCAACGAGGAAUUCCUAGUAAGCGCGAGUCAUCAGCUCGCGUUGAUUACGUCCCUGCCCUUUGUACACACCGCCCGUCGCUCCUACCGAUUGAAUGGUCCGGUGAAAUGUUCGGAUCGCGGCAAAUCGGACGGGUAACCGUCAGGUUCGCUGCGAGAAGUUCAUUAAACCUUAUCAUUUAGAGGAAGGAGAAGUCGUAACA